GCCUGACCAAAUGGCUAGCUCCUAAAAUAAGAAUCAAAUAUGUGACUGCGAUUGAUCUUAAAUAACACAAGAGUAAAAGAUUAUUUAAUAAAACUUUUAAAGUCACCUUGUGGUACUAAUGUCAAAUUGAAGCUUUUUGCAAACACAAUUUGAAACCAACAGAAGGUGAUUGCCUACAAGUAUUUGAGAAGGUGAGCAUUACUUCA
rnacentral:misc_RNA from 1 species